UUGGAAAAGUAAAGGGAUCUCAGAUACCAGAGAGCUGCCAAUAUGACUGGACCCAGUGUUUCUGUUAGCUAAGCUGCACAUGAUUAGCACCAUGUCAUACAGCUUCUAUGAAAGCUAACUGGAAGCUAAGUUAUGGCUUUAACCCUUCGCCGUAUUGUAUUUAAAUACACCCGCUGACAUUACCUUUCACAAUCAGUUUACGUAAUGUGUGAAAACCCCUACGAGGCAGACGUUUACAGCCGCAAUAGGAGCAAACGACCUGGAUUUCGUACAAUUAACAGGCCAGAAAUGAAUAGCUGUGCUGCUGCUAGGGACCACCAGAAGCGCUUCACUCGGCCAGCAUAUGAUAUCACCAGGCUGGUUGUUGAUCAGAGAGGGGAGGAGGAGCAGAGCGCAUACCGACACCGUCCACCAGAGGGCGUCCUAACAGCGGAAGCAUGACGUCAUACACGCGGGGUAUGACCUAUCCAGUUCGAACCAUGCUAAUGCCCUCUGCUGGCUAAGGAUGGCAUUGCGUAUGGCUGCCAGCAGCUCAUCAGUGCAGCUCCAGGUGCUGGGCUCCAGGGUGUAGAAGAG